AUUGAACGCUGGCGGCAGGCCUAACACAUGCAAGUCGAACGAGUGGCGGACGGGUGAGUAAUGUCUGGGGAUCUGCCUGAUGGCGGGGGGAAACUACUGGAAACGGUAGCCAAUACCGAAUACUAUCAGUUUACCCCAUAUGGGAGUAGCUGGUUGGUAAGGUAACGGCUUACCUAGGCUACGAUCCCUAGCUGGUCUGAGAGGAUGACCAGCCACACUGGGACUGAGACACGGCCCAGACUCCUACGGGAGGCAGCAGUGGGGAAUAUUGCACAAUGGGCGCAAGCCUGAUGCAGCCAUGCCGCGUGUAUGAAGAAGGCCUUCGGGUUGUAAAGUACGUUCAGUCGGGAGGCGUUACCGACAGAAGAAGCACCGGCUAACUCCGUGCCAGCCGCCGCGGUAAUAC
rnacentral:rRNA from 1 species